GGAUCCAGCAGGACCGCAGACAGCUGAGGGCGCCCAGAAGCUGAGGUGCCCAGAGCAGGGACAGCGCCCCCUGCUGCCGGAGCACCCGGGCCGGAGAACACGGCGGCUUCAGUCUGAGCCCCACCUCCCCUGUUACCAGGCACCGCCCCAAGGAACCGCCCCAGCCUAGGGGAUUCUGAUUGGCUGCACCUUCUGUGACGUCGCGCGGCUGGCUGCGGCCACUGACCAAUCAGGCACGUCAGGGCGACCCUGCGGAGCCCCGCGGGAUCUUUCUUUGUGGCAGCGUUGGGAGGGGUCCCCGGGGCUGCUGCUGAGCGGGCUCAGGUGCCUCAGGGGCUGCGCUGUGUGACCUUCCUGCACCGCAGGAGCCGCCCGAGGACCCCAGAAUGCCUCGGAAGCGAGGAAAUGAGGCCUGAGAUGGCAUGGGGACAAAUUCAGGAGGGAGAGAGAGGCUAAUUAAAGUGGAUUUCAUGGGAGACCCCGCGGAGAUCAGCCAUUAACCCAUUAAUCACGACUAUUCAUUUUUCUGCAUUCAUGAAAAGAUAAAUCCUCCAAAUUGUGAAGCCCAGUCAACACAUGGAGUAUACAGUUUGGACACAGAGAAAGCCCUGCAAUUGUCCUGAUGCUGAUUCAAAGGCACUGAAUGUAUUCUGUGUUCCUGAAGUGCAUGAACAAUUUUGAACUACUGGUGCGCACCAAGAGUCCAUGGCCUAGGCUUAGUUUGAUGUGAGCCGGCAAGCUUCAUUCAUCUUCAGGGGGAUCCCGAUCAUCAAUGUUAUCAUAAUGAAGAUGGAGGGGUUGCUUCGUGACAUUGUCUGUUUGCCGCACAAGUCGCUCAGGUAACCAUCGUACUUCAUUGUCUUUUUGCGAGAAAAUAGAAACAUGUCCACGUCCCCAUAUUAAAACAGGGUCAGGUCCAUACCAUUGAGCAGUUAGAGGGUCUUUCCACUUCACAUAGACUUGUUGUCUUUUGGUUUCAGGAUGCCAGUGACGAUCAGCUGCAGUUUUCCCUUGAUUAUCCAAUAUUAA